AUGAACGCUAGCUACAGGCUUAACACAUGCAAGUCGCGGGGCAGCAUGAAGGAUGCUUGCAUCCUUUGAUGGCGACCGGCGCACGGGUGAGUAACGCGUAUCCAACCUGCCUGUUACCACGGCACAGCCCGUCGAAAGGCGGAUUAAUGCCGUAUGUGGUCCUUUGCGGGCAUCUAAUUAGGACUAAAGGUUCAGCGGUAACAGAUGGGGAUGCGUCCGAUUAGCUAGACGGCGGGGUAACGGCCCACCGUGGCGACGAUCGGUAGGGGUUCUGAGAGGAAGGUCCCCCACACUGGAACUGAGACACGGUCCAGACUCCUACGGGAGGCAGCAGUGAGGAAUAUUGGUCAAUGGGCGUAAGCCUGAACCAGCCAAGUAGCGUGAGGGAAGACUGCCCUAUGGGUUGUAAACCUCUUUUGUGCGGGGAUAAAGUGAGGGACGUGUCCCUUAUUGCAGGUACCGCACGAAUAAGGACCGGCUAAUUCCGUGCCAGCAGCCGCGGUAAUACGGAAGGUCCGGGCGUUAUCCGGAUUUAUUGGGUUUAAAGGGAGCGCAGGCCGUCCUUUAAGCGUGCUGUGAAAUGCCGCGGCUCAACCGUGGCACUGCAGCGCGAACUGGAGGACUUGAGUACGCACGAGGUAGGCGGAAUUCGUGGUGUAGCGGUGAAAUGCUUAGAUAUCACGAAGAACUCCGAUUGCGAAGGCAGCUUACCGGAGCGCAACUGACGCUGAGGCUCGAAAGCGCGGGUAUCGAACAGGAUUAGAUACCCUGGUAGUCCACGCUGUAAACGAUGGAUACUAGGUGUGGGGGGACUGACCCCCUCCGUGCCGCAGUUAACACAAUAAGUAAUCCACCUGGGGAGUACGACCGCAAGGUUGAAACUCAAAGGAAUUGACGGGGGCCCGCACAAGCGGAGGAACAUGUGGUUUAAUUCGAUGAUACGCGAGGAACCUUACCCGGGCUUGAAUUGCAGGAGAACGAUCCAGAGAUGGUGAGGCCCUUCGGGGCUCCUGUGAAGGUGCUGCAUGGUUGUCGUCAGCUCGUGCCGUGAGGUGUCGGCUCAAGUGCCAUAACGAGCGCAACCCCUGUCCAUAGUUGCCAUCAGGUUAAGCUGGGCACUCUGUGGAGACUGCCGCCGUAAGGUGUGAGGAAGGUGGGGAUGACGUCAAAUCAGCACGGCCCUUACGUCCGGGGCUACACACGUGUUACAAUGGGGCAUACAGCGAGUUGGAUGUGCGCAAGUACGUCCGGAUCAAUAAAGUGCCUCUCAGUUCGGACUGGGGUCUGCAACCCGACCCCACGAAGCUGGAUUCGCUAGUAAUCGCGCAUCAGCCAUGGCGCGGUGAAUACGUUCCCGGGCCUUGUACACACCGCCCGUCAAGCCAUGAAAGCCGGGGGCGCCUGAAGUCCGUGACCGCGAGGGUCGGCCUAGGGUGAAACCGGUGAUUGGGGCU
rnacentral:rRNA from 1 species